rnacentral:rRNA from 1 species
AGAGUUUGAUCAUGGCUCAGGAUGAACGCUGGCGGCGUGCUUAACACAUGCAAGUCGAACGAUGAAGCCGGAGCUUGCUCUGGUGGAUUAGUGGCGAACGGGUGAGUAACACGUGAGUAACCUGCCCUUGACUCUGGAAUAAGCGUUGGAAACGACGUCUAAUACCGGAUACGAGCUUCCGCCGCAUGGUGAGGAGCUGGAAAGAAUUUCGGUCAAGGAUGGACUCGCGGCCUAUCAGGUAGUUGGUGAGGUAAUGGCUCACCAAGCCUACGACGGGUAGCCGGCCUGAGAGGGUGACCGGCCACACUGGAACUGAGACACGGUCCAGACUCCUACGGGAGGCAGCAGUGGGGAAUAUUGCACAAUGGGCGCAAGCCUGAUGCAGCAACGCCGCGUGAGGGACGACGGCCUUCGGGUUGUAAACCUCUUUUAGUAGGGAAGAAGCGAAAGUGACGGUACCUGCAGAAAAAGCACCGGCUAACUACGUGCCAGCAGCCGCGGUAAUACGUAGGUGGCAAGCGUUAUCCGGAAUUAUUGGGCGUAAAGCGCGCGCAGGUGGUUUCUUAAGUCUGAUGUGAAAGCCCACGGCUCAACUGUGGAGGGUCAUUGGAAACUGGGAGACUUGAGUGCAGAAGAGGAAAGUGGAAUUCCAUGUGUAGCGGUGAAAUGCGUAGAGAUAUGGAGGAACACCAGUGGCGAAGGCGACUUUCUGGUCUGUAACUGACACUGAGGCGCGAAAGCGUGGGGAGCAAACAGGAUUAGAUACCCUGGUAGU